CACGUAGGGUGCGAGCGUUGUUCGGAAUUACUGGGCGUAAAGGGUUCGUAGGUGGCUCACUAAGUCACACGUGAAAUCCCUCAGCUUAACUGGGGAACUGCGUGUGAAACUGGAGAGCUUGAGGGUAGGAGAGGAAUGCAGAAUUCCAGGUGUAGCGGUGAAAUGACGUAGAUAUCUGGAGGAAUACCGGUGGCGAAGGCGGCAUUCUGGACCGACGAUUGACGGCUGAGGAGGCGAAAAGCCAGGGG
rnacentral:rRNA from 1 species